AGGGGUAAAAAGGUUUGAGUCAUUUUAGAAAUUGUGGAAGAUUUGACAUGUGGUAAAUGGUAAUCAUGCAGCUAAAGGUUGAAUAUAUAUGAAGAGUGACAGCCCAACUUGAUGGCAUGCAAGGAUGAGAGUCCAUGAGAGUUGGCAGUCACGUGAGCUUGGUUAGCUGUUCUCAAUGCUUUUCCAGCAGGACAACAGCAACCAACAACAACCAACAACAACAGACUUUGGGCUUACAAAGUCCUGCUAACAUUCGCUCUGCAAAUACAUGUUUGAUCAGAACAGCCAAUCUUACAUAAACAACACCAAGAACAACGGCAACAAAAACAUCAAGAUCAACAACAUAUUCUGCUAUACCCAAACCUCUCCUCACGAAGAACUUUCUUUGCUUAGCCAUUUUCUCUUCGGUCAUAUUCCCUUGCCAUAAAUCAAUAAUGGCUUUUCCCUUUUACACUCAAUAGCAUGCACGAAACACCAAUGAAUGCUUAUCUACAUCACGUACAAGUUGCUAUAGUAACGUCUGGAAAAUGUCUGACCCUAAUGUUCAGUUUUAAUGAAGCAAAACAAUGUUGAUGUAUACGAAACGGGAGUUAAAUAACUUUAUUAUAUCAUCUUCUAAAUUGUGAUAAAACUUUCUGAACCUGAUAAUGUUUCUUAAGCUGUAGUUCUUCUGGCACGACACGACUCAGUAAGAUAUUCUCAUCAUGUUCAUAAUUUUUCUGUUUUUCUUGGUAUUUCUCCAUUUGCUCCAAAAUAGUCUUUAAAAUACUGAAAAACAAUCAGAUUUCAAGAUUAUGUCACUCUAAGGCCUAUCCUUGGGGUAGCCUUCCCAAAUUGAGUCAGAUCUUCUGCCGAAAAAUUGUUUUCUGAAUCAAAACGGGAAUGGACCCCAAGGUCUCAGAAACGUAGCAGCGCUACCGACUGAGCUACUGGGAUAGCCAGAUUGAGACUCUCAAAAUACACGUUUCCUGAAAGUAUCUCACCUUGGCUGUUAAGCCAAGUAUUCGUUAUUACACGAUUGCAUCAUCCACACACACACAAGCAAUAUUCAUUUCAUGCCUGACCAACUCCCUCUCAUAACGAUUAAUGUCAGCUUAGCGUAUCAGUGAAUUAGAUAUCCCGCGUUGGGUGUGUGCAUGGUAUUUAUGAUUAUCUCAAUAUUUUAUAUCGAUCUCAAUAGCUCAGCGCUAGUACGUGAAACCUGAGAUCACGAGUUCGAUUCUCAGUUGGCACACUCAGAAAACAACUUUUCCAGCUGAUGAUCUGACUUCAUUUGGAAAGUCCACUUAGCGAAUCC